rnacentral:lncRNA from 1 species
AGUGGCGGAACUUUGCUCACGACAGGACUAGGGCCAUUCGAAAAAAAUUUAGCACAGACUAAUUGACAGAUAAGAAUAAGUACCUAAUCGAUGAAGAAUUAUUGUAUUUGUUCCACUUAGCUUCUUGUUUCUGCAUCAACAAUCGAAUCAGACCGCAGACCUACGUAAAAAAUGAACACAAGUUAUAUAUAUAACAAUUUUAAGACCGUGUCAAACUUCAAUUAUUUAAUAAACUGAACAUACCAUUAACACUAGUAGCCUGAUGUUGUUUAGGCAACAUUUUCAUGCGAGACUUCAUUUCUUGAAACUGGUAUAAAACCUUAUCAUUUGGAAUACUUGAAAAAAUGUCUCGUUCAAUAUAGCAUACCAUCCUAUGAUUGAGCCAGUCACUCCCCAUCUUAUUCCUCAAAUCAGUCUUUACAAUUUUCAUCGCUGAGAAAGCUCUUUCAACUGUGGCAGUAGCAACCGGCAAAAUCAAAGCCAACUCAACAAGACGAUAGACCAAAGGAAAUGUUAUAUGUCUAUCAGUCUGCACCAUCUUUAUAGCAAGAUCUCCAAGGUCAUUGCAACAUGUAAAACUUGCAUCCGCCCUUGCAUCAUUAACAAACAUCUCAAGUUGGUUGCGAAGGACAAUGCAAUCAUAUUGGGUGAAGUCAACAACAUAAAUUUGAGCAAGUUCCAUUAAUUUAUCUUCAUCAAAGUUUGCAAAAGAAUUCCGUGGGUCUAAACAAGCAAUGCAUCUCAAUAGUUGAGUGGACCUUUCAGCAAAACGAUUAUCUACAACUACAAUAAUAAAAAAAAGAGUGUAGAAUUGAGAGACAAUAAAAUAAACCAACUUUACUUAAACUGUUGAUCCUGACCUGAAGGGUGUGCUGUGCGUGUAGUGCAGCAGUAGCCAGACGCAGGAAGCAGACGCAGCCACGUAGGAAAGUAGCCAGAGCAGGAAGCAGGAUCCUGACCUGAAGGGCUGGUUGCUGGGCACUGGCCGAGUGGCCGAUGGGCAGGCAGCACACGCCAGACGCAGCAGGCUGGAGCUUCGUCGUUUGCUUUACGGCGGUGUCGCCGGCGGACGGAAACUAAUCGCGAUCAGCAGGGGUAGGGCAAACGACGGUACGGACGCUAUAGAAUAAUGGGCCGGAAUAAUUAAGAAGAGUACUAAUA